UCCCGGUUAGCUCAGCGGUAGAGCGGGAGGUUUACACCCUCCGACAGCGGCGGUUCGAUCCCGCCACCGGGGA
rnacentral:tRNA from 1 species